rnacentral:rRNA from 1 species
AAUGAACGUUGGCGGCGUGGAUUAGGCAUGCAAGUCGAGUGCUCACCCGCAAGGGUGGGAGCGGCGAAAGGGAGAGUAACGCGUGGGUAUCUGCCCUCGGGACUGGGAUAGCUGCGGGAAACUGCAGGUAAUACCAGAUGACGUCCCCGGACCAAAGGUGUGAUUCCGCCUGAGGAUGAGCCCGCGUCCUAUUAGCUUGUUGGUGGGGUAAUGGCCUACCAAGGCAAUGAUGGGUACUGGGUGUGAGAGCACGACCCAGCUCACUGGGACUGAGCCACUGCGCAGACACCUACGGGUGGCUGCAGGCGAGAAUCUUCGGCAAUGGGAGAAAGCCUGAACGAGCGACGCCGCGUGUGGGAUGAAGGCCUUCGGGUUGUAAACCGCUGUCAGAGGGGAGGAAUGGGCGGAGGGUAAUCUCUUCGUUUUGACCUAUCCUCAGAGGAAGUACGGGCUAAGUUCGUGCCAGCCGCCGCCGUAACAC